CUACGGGUGGCAGCAGUGAGGAAUAUUGCACAAUGGGGGGAACCCUGGUGCAGCAACGCUGCGUGGAGGAUGACGCAUUUCGGUGUGUAAACUCCUUUUAUAUGUCAAGAAAAUGACGGUAGCAUAUGAAUAAGCACCGGCUAACUCCGUGCCAGCAGCCGCGGUAAUACGGAGGGUGCAAGCGUUACUCGGAAUCACUGGGCGUAAAGGACGCGUAGGCGGGUUGGAAAGUCAGGUGUGAAAUCCUACAGCUUAACUGUAGAACUGCACUUGAAACUUCUAAUCUAGAGUAUGGGAGGGGGAGAUGGAAUUAGUGGUGUAGGGGUAAAAUCCGUAGAUAUCACUAGGAAUACCUAAAGCGAAGGCGAUCUCCUGGAACAUUACUGACGCUAAGGCGUGAAAGCGUGGGGAGCAAACAGGAUUAGAUACCCCAGUAGUC
rnacentral:rRNA from 1 species